AGUGAAUAGAUACCCCGGGUAGUCCACGCCCUAAACGAUGUCAACUAGUUGUCGGGGAUUAAUUUUCUUGGUAAACGUAGCUAAACGCGAGAAAGUUGACCGCCUGGGGAGUACGGUCGCAAGAUUAAAACUCAAAGGAAUUGACGGGGACCCGCACAAGCGGUGGAUGAUGUGGAUUAAUUCGAUGCAACGCGAAAAACCUUACCUACCCUUGACAUGGUUCGAAUCUACCAGAGAUGGUGGAGUGCCCGAAAGGGAACGGAUGCACAGGUGCUGCAUGGCUGUCGUCAGCUCGUGUCGUGAGAUGUUGGGUU
rnacentral:rRNA from 1 species